rnacentral:piRNA from 1 species
AUGGGCAACAUUUGGAGGAAACAACGAUG